rnacentral:rRNA from 1 species
UACCCUAUAGUUUGGGAUAACUCCGGGAAACCGGGGCUAAUACCGAAUAAUCUCUUUUACUUCAUGGUGAAAGACUGAAAGACGGCAUCUCGCUGUCGCUAUAGGAUGGGCCCGCGGCGCAUUAGCUAGUUGGUGAGGUAACGGCUCACCAAGGCGACGAUGCGUAGCCGACCUGAGAGGGUGAUCGGCCACACUGGGACUGAGACACGGCCCAGACUCCUACGGGAGGCAGCAGUAGGGAAUCUUCCACA